CACCUUUGGGAGUCGGUUCAGCGGAGCAGUGGCUGCACCUAUAUUUCAUGUGUGCAUGUGCACGUGCCUGUGUGAGCAUGUGUGUGUGUGUUUGCAUGUCCAUGUGUGCUCACAAGGCUGUGACUGUGUAUCUAUGUGUCAUACAGAUUAUGUGUGUGCAUGAGUGUGUGUGUGUGAGUGUAUUUGUUCGUGUGGCUCUAUUUCAUAGUCACGCUGAUUUGUGGUCGUCUACAUCAAGUUUCUCAGGAUGCUGUAAAUCUCGCUGUACAAACUGCAUUGAGAAAGAUACACACACGUGUUUGUGUAUGAUUUGGUAAGUGCACUUACAUUAUAGUUUUGCAUAUGUUGUAAGGUUUUGUUGUUUGCUGACAACCAUUUCUCGAAAAAUUUGCAAUGAAACUGGAACUGCUGGAGCUCGCUGGUUUUACUUAUUCAAAUAUUGAAUUUAUGACAAAAACAGCUGAUGAAAUAAACACUGCAUUGAUUUGAAUAAAACGCCCUAUCAUUCUUUAAUUUAUUUUUCAAUAAGUAGGAUGGAUUGGGAUUAACAGUGACUGUUUUAAAAAAGUUUAAUCAAAUUUAGAUUUUAAGUUUUGGGACGACCUGUAACUCAAGCUUAGAUCUGGAUCCAGCAAUUUCACAAAUGACUCAUAUGCAGCUCAGCAUAACCCAAAAUCAAAGUGCUGCUCACCCCCUAUGACUUGAACUGCCUUUGCCCUCGAAGUCCUAUUAAACUCCACAUUUUGUAUUUUUCUCUCUGUUAUAUCUAAUUAAAUAUUAUUUGUCUUACAGUGUAAAAAUCUCUGUCACGAUAACAAGGAUGCUUCUUUUAAGCAAUGUUUUAAGCAUCCCUCUGCAGGCCUCUAUUUAUUUGCUGCAUCCGGGUUUUCUAACACUGAUUUUUGAGUGAGUUGCAACAAAGAGAAGAAAUGCAAUAACAAAAAUAAUGAGAAGAUGUGAAAAAAAAACGGAAAAAAAAUUACAAUUCUAGAUUUUACUUUUACCUUUUCCACUGUCCCUGUCUGCUUUUGCCUCUUUUUGCAACCCCCCCUCCUCCUUUCAUUUUUUUCUGUCUUUUUCACUCUCCUUUUCUCAGUUUUCUUAGACACCUGUGCAGGUUUAAUGUUUCAGCCCAGUCCCUGAAAAAUAAAUGUGGAGCUCCAAUCUCUUAAUCCACUCGGCUCCACGCAGCCACGUCACAUGACACUGCCACGGCCGCCCUGAUGCCCAGACAACACUGGAGGGAGAGAUUGUUUUGUCUGAGUGUGUGUGUGUUUGUGUGUGUAAAUGAAUGAACAGCUAAGUUUGUGUGUGAGGUAAAGAGAGUCAUAAGAAAAUGCUGGUGUUAGUUGGGUUUGUAUUUUUUAUUCAUGUGUCUGUCUGAGUGUCUGGAUACUGUUUGUGUUUAAGGAGAGGAACUAAAGUCGGGAAAGGGGAGGAAGACUAAUCUCUUUUCAUUCAAAUCAAGGUCCUUGGUCCACUUUUCUGUGUGUGUGUGUGUGUGUGUGUGUGUGUGUGUGUGUGUGUGUGUGUGUGUGUGUGUGUGUGUGUGUGUGUGUGUGUGUGUGUGUUUAGGGAUGAUACCCUAUCCACAGCAAUCAGUCUGACCUCCACUCUGGAGUGAACUGCUCUCAAUGAUUAAUGGAUCUGCCUCCGUGCUCGGUCACCAAGGCAACCCGAAACCCGAUAGCCCUCAGGAAUUCGCUAGCUCGCCCUCAAUGUUAGACUGCAUGUGUGUGUAUGUGUUGCUAGGCUGUGGGUGGGAGGCAGUGUAAGGCUAAAUGUGACUCUUUGGAAAGAUGGAGUUGGUUGUAGUUUAUAGUAGAAAAGUCAAUUUUGUGUUUUCAGUCCUUUUAUUGUUUCUGUAAGAUUUUUUUUAAAUAAUAAAUAUCACUAACUUGAGGUUUUGGGGCUUAUUUAAUUAUUACAUUUUAUUUUAGGGGCAUGUAAUAUCAAACAAUGAUCAUACCAACCUCCUGGAGGGAUUUGCCAUCUCAAAUUGACAUAAUUCAGUAUUUGGUUGUCUUCUUUGUGCCAAACAGUCGUCUAAACAACAAAGCCUAGGCGGCAUCAGUGAUUGUGUCUUUAUUUAGUGAUUGUACGUUUGUGUAUGUACUGUUACAGUGUGUAUGCUUAUGUGGCCAUAUGUCCAUCUGAUGAGUAAAUCCAUGUUAACAAGAUGGCAGCUCUUAAGUUAAAGUGCUGCAGCUCAGCUAGCAGACUGGACAUUAAACGCACCAACUUGACAAUAAGGUGUUAUUUCAAAGGGGCCACUUAACACCUUAUUGAUCUAGAGACCAUAGGGGCUCAUUAGAAGAUGGCUCAGAGUUACUGCGGUGUACUUGUAACACAGUCUGAUGCUUUCGUGACAAUGUCAAAACAAUCUUAGAGAUCUUUGUUUUUACUAUUUCACCCCAAUAGUUCACUGGUAUCAAAGAUGUGUACAGUAGGGGUGGGAGAAAAAAAAUUGAUACAGCAUUGUAUCGUGAUAUUUUGUCUGGUGAUAUAUCGUAUCGUUUCAUUUACCAAGUAUCAAUUUUUCAAAUUAAUUCAUAUGUAGUCAAAUCUAUGAUAAUGGAAAAAUAAAAUCAACUGUUUGUCCAGUGAGGUGACAUCAUAGAGCAAGGUAAAGUUAGUACAACAAAAAUAUACAUAUUUAAGGUUUGCAAGAUGUGCUACAUGAAAAUAAAAUACAGCGCAAAUAAGACAAACACAAAGGAAAGCCAAAUGCUAAAUCAGCUAAACAGUUUAAAAAUUGUAUGAAUUGCGAUAUAUUGUAUCCCAAUACUCACAGUAUCACAAAAUGUUAAAAAAUUGCAAUAAUAUUGUAUCGCGGCCCAAGUAUCGUGAUAAUAUCGUAUUGUGGGGCCACUAGUGAUUCUCACCCCUAGUGUACAGAGAGAGCUUUAACACUGAGUGACUCUGAUAGUCAUUACUUCUUAAGCAAUAUUCUCACUGUUUGUCUUGGAUAAUUUACAAACAUGAACAACAACAAAGAAAAAAGGUAGAUAAUGUUGCACAGGGAUAAUGAAAGUUGGCGUCAUUGUUCAAGAGCAACGACCCACAACAAGUGUCUACCUGUAGAGGCUUCGACAGAAAUCAUGUGAACAAACAGAUAACAUUGUUAAAUGUCAUUGAGGUGAAUUGCUACAUCAUUUAAGUUGAACUGCAAACAGUGGUGGCCAACUCCCAAAUUCCUGAUUAAUUUCUCAAGAAAGAUCUGUGGUUUCUUUUUUUUUUUCUCAUUUCUUAUCUACUGUGGUUCCCUGGAAAAGGCAUGCACGUGAAACACACUGACACAGUGCUUUAAUAACUCCACAUUCUCUUUGUCUGUGGCCUUGUUGGAAACAUUUUAGAUAGUUCAAUAUUUCAAUACUCAGCUUGUUGGGUGUAUUUUUUGUCAUCUGGAUAUGUAAUGAUAUAAUCAGUUUUAGAUUGUUUGUGAGGCUUGGGGCCAAGACGUAACACCGUAUAAUAGAUAUGAAAACAUCAUGGCGUGUGUGUAGAGCUGUGAUAUGUCUAAUGAAAGAUAUUUUCUGAUGAUUCCUAAACAGCUGAGAUUGGAUUGAAUUAUUCAGCAGAGAUCAUUCACUUGUAAGUCGAAUCCUUUGUGAGAGUUCAGGAUAAUUCUUAGGAACACAUAAGUAACUUCGAGUUGUGUUUGGGCCAAGUAUUAAGUGUGUUUUUGUGUGUUUUGUAUAUGUGUGUGUGCAGGUAUCUUGUAUCAGAACUGAUGUGUGUGAUGAAGGGUGAAUCUCUGGCAGGAAACCACAAAGACCAGACCAGAACUCUCAGCUUCAUGUUAUCACAUCUGUGAUUUCUCCUGAGUUUUGCAUCAUCAUAGUGAAAGUGUUGCUGUCAAUAAAAGUCAACUUUAUAAUUUGCUCUCUCCUCAUUUCUUUUCCUGAACACUGCAGACCACACCUCAGCCUCUUACACUUGAUACAAAACACUAAAAAUGUGCAGUAGUCUAGUCUAUGAAAUUAGCAUUUUGAUGAAGGGGAAUAAUCAAGUACCAAAACGAAGACUUCUUGUCAUUUACAUUGUAAUAUUUCAUCUGAAAUUAACUUCCUCUGUCUAUAAGUUACAUUUCCAUAAGUAUUAAUUCUGAGGAAUAAUUUUUGUUUAUAAUUCCCUUACAGACAAAACUCUACUAAUAAAGAGCACUGAACUACAGCAGAAUUUGUCUGAUGAGUUCAGCAGAUACUCCAAGUCCAAGAUUUAUUUCUGAUUUAGUCUCACUGAGUUUUUCAGAAAAGAUACUGAUCAGAUGAUGCCGAUGUAUGAGUUUGUGUGCGUGUGUUUUUGUAUGUCUCUCUCUUUGUCUAUGUGUGUACGUGCUGAGUGACGGGCGCAGCGGGGGUAUCUGUGACAGUGUGUCAGGCAUGUAAACCCAGCCUGACCUGGUCUGCUUUGGCCCUUCAGGUCCCUUAGCAGAAACACACGUACGCACAAAAACACACACACAUACGAAGACACAAACACGCAAUUCUCUUGUUUCUCAGUGCCCGUGAAGCUUCCUGAGCUCUCACACAUGAAACGUCUUUGUCAUAAGGGUAAUGCUGUCAGACUAAAACUUGUGGUAGAGAUCAAAACUCUGUGAAAAUGUGUGAAAAUACCUCACCACUAACUACCACCAUACAGCAAGGCUAUUGGCCACAGCAAUACAAACAACCUAUCCACCUACAAAAGCUAUGGUGUGCAUUUACUACAACGCCUUUUAUAAUGUGUCAAUAAGAUUUUUUUUAUAAAGUUCACCACACCUCUGUAAGAAAAAUGGCAGUGAAACACAAA